UUCGGAAUCUGCCCAGUAAUGGGGAAUAACUAACCGAAAGGUUAGCUAAUGCCGCAUACGUCCCUUUUCCGUAUUGGGAAUUGGAGAAAGCGGGGGAUCGCAAGACCUCGCGUUAUUGGAUGAGCCGAAGUCGGAUUAGCUAGUUGGUGAGGUAACGGCUCACCAAGGCGACAAUCCGUAGCUGGUCUGAGAGGACGACCAGCCACACUGGGACUGAGACACGGCCCAGACUCCUACGGGAGGCAGCAGUGGGGAAUAUUGGACAAUGGGGGCAACCCUGAUCCAGCGACGCCGCGUGUGUGAAGAAGGCCUGCGGGUUGUAAAGCACUUUUAGUGGGGACAAAAAGCCAUCGGCUAAUACCUGGUGGUCUUGAUUUAACCCAAAGAAAAAGCACCGGCUAACUCUGUGCCAGCAGCCGCGGUAAUACAGAGGGUGCAAGCGUUAAUCGGAAUUACUGGGCGUAAAGCGUGCGCAGACGGUCUCGUAAGUCGGGUGUGAAAUCCCCGGGCUCAACCUGGGAAUUGCAUUCGAAACUGCGAGGCUAGGGUACGGAAGAGGGAAGCGGAAUU
rnacentral:rRNA from 1 species